AAGUGCUACAUUACCCCCACUAUUUCAUGAAUGGUUCAUUACAGUAGUUCUUUCUGCAGUAAUUUCAGUGUUUCAUAGAUUAAGAUUACAUAUGUAUGUUCAUGAAUGAUGAGUAGUUUCAGUUAUUUCCCAACUUGAAAGAAACCGGAAUAGGCAGUAGUAGGACAAUGAGUCAUCCUGCACUAGUACAAGUACAUGAACAAGUAGUAUUAUACGAGUUAGUGUUGAUUUUCAAAUUUGAUGCUCUCUAAUGAUUGCUCACGUGCCCUCAGGAAUCUGUUAUUCCUUUUUCAUCAUCAGGAUGACAACAAGUCUUCUUAGUGGGAUCAGACGGCACAUUGCCGUUGCCAAAAACACUGUGAUGUCGUUUCGCUUGUAUGCCAUGCUCUCGCACCAAAUCCUGGUAUAUAUAUGCUGAUCCCAUGUUGAACCUGAGCUCAAUUAUUUUGGGAAAUACUGAGACAUCAGAUGGCCUAUCAUCAUCUUUACGUAGUUUUUAGUUGACUUAUCGUUAUGUAUAAGCAGCUCAUCUGGCGGCAGUACUAUUGGUUAUUAUUUAUAAGAAGUCAUACUGAUCAUGAAAAAUAUGCCACAGUAAACUUUGAAACAAUACUGAUAACAGUUUCACAUAGUUGUGCCCCUUUAUAUUGCUUGCUCUCACUCAAUAGGCACCAUUUGUCCAUUUCUGUUCCAUAUCUCUUACCCUGAUGUUGAAAAAGUAAUUAAGUCUUGAACUACUUGAAUCAUUGAUGUGCUGUAAAUCUAUGCUCGGUUCUAUAUGCGAAGAUAGACACUAUCUUUGCUGCUUGUGUCUUGAAUAAAUAAAUAAAAUUAUGUAAUGAUGAUCUGAAAUGUCACACAGGUGACCAUUUGUGAUGUCGCCACCGUCAUGCCGGUUGGAGGUGCUGCUGCUGCAUCUGGCGGAGCUGCAGCUGCCGCCCCAAAGGGCAACCUUCAUCAAACACAACCCCAUAAAAGGGCCUCAAGGUGAAUGGAGCUUGUGUUGUUGAUAGAACACCGUUGAUGACUUCUUCCUAUGUUGAAGAGCAUGUUCCAUGGUAUCCAAGAGUAGCUAGCUUUAACUUGGCAGAGCGUUUUAUUUUUCAAUCGCAAUAUUUGUGAUUGUGUGGAAUAUUGUAUGGUUAUGUACGUGAAGUUUUAAGUUCCUGGGCAUGCAAUAUUUGUAGGUUAAACUGGUUGUUGUGAUGUGAACGAGUGUAUGGAGUUUCACAUGUUCUGUUCUGUACAGAAUAUAUUGUAAUAAACCUAUUUUGGUUGUUAUUUGAAGAUUUUCAUAUUC